GGGUUUUGUUAAAAAUAGUUUUUUUUAAAAUUUUUCUUUCUGUGUUUUUGCCUAUUUCUGUUCUAAGUUCUUAAAUUUAUGAUUUAGAUGCUUCAUUAAAUAUCUGCAAAUGUUUGUACAAGUAUAUUUAAUCCAGGCUGGCAUGCUGUUCUGUAAUUUUCUUCUGCUUCAUGGUUGUUUUUUUGGGGGAGGUGGGUGGAAAAGAUUUUUCACCAACUGGAUGCUUUGAUAGUAGUUUUGUUUCCUUUUUAGGGAAGAUUUUUGUGUAAGCCAACUGGAUUUCCUAUUUAUACCUGAGUCUGAAAUAACAAUUUAUAUAUAAAGGGGGUGAAGGGUUUGGGAAACAUACAGAAAUACAUUUUGGGGGGAAAAUGGAUUGGCAUAUCUUUGGAUUUUGAUGUGCUCUCUCAUUUCUGCGAGAUUCUCAAAAUCGCCUCGAGCUUUCUUCUUUACUUUAUCCCAAAUCUGCAAAAGAUAACCUACCAGUCCUAUUUGUGUUAUUCUUUUCCAGCAGAGAUCAUGUUUUAGAUUUUUCUCUUUAGAUCCUGCACACCUUUCUGUAGCCAGUGCUCAGGUCUAGCAGGUCUCAGUCCUAUUUCAGAAUUUCUGUAUUUGAUUGGCCUUGAUGUUCUGAAUCUUGCUUUGUCUGAGCUCCCUUAUCCUCCUUCUACCUGGUCUCUUCGAGCACUACCUCAUUUCCACACAGGCUUAUGUGGUGAGAUCAGAGUUUUAUGUCUGCUAGAAUGUGGCCUUCAUUUCUUUCUUUCUAUUUAGUAUGAGGGCUGUAGCACUCUCAGUGUCCAUGUAAAGCCAAAGAAGGCAGUUUCGUGUGGUUUCAUUUGCUCUCCUUGUUGAUUAGUUUGCUUUUUGGAGGAAGGAUUGAGAGAUUUUAGUCUAAGAAGCUGACAUUAUCCAAGGGCAACUUCAAAAUACAUCCUAUUGAUUGAGCAAAUAAUUUUCUGUUGCUUACUUUGAUGUGAUCAUUAUCUACUUAAAAUAACCAUACAUGAAAUUGCCAAAAAAGACAAAAUCUAUAGAGACAGAAAGUAGAUUUGUGGUUGCUAAGAGCCAAGGAGGGCUAGGGGUCUAGGGCAUGAGGAUUUUCUGCUGAUAAAUAUAGAGUAUCCUUUUCUUUUCUAGUAGAAUUUAUUUUUUUAAAGCAGUAUCAGCUACACAGAAAAAUUGAAUGGAAAUUAUAAAUAUUUACUAUACACAUGCACAGCCUGCCCCACUGUCAAGAUCCCCCACUAGACUGGUAGAUUUGUUACAGUAGAUGAACCAAUAUUGACACAUCAUCUCCCAAAGUCCAUGGUUUACACUAGGGUUCUCUCUUACUGUUCUAUAUGCGGGUUUGACAAAUGGAUAAUGACUUGUACCCACCAUUAUAGUACCAGGCAGAAUAGUUUCAUUGCCCUGAAAAUCCCCUGUGCUCUGCCUAUUUGCUUUUCUUAUGGGAUGAGAAAAAUGUUGAAAAUUAGGUUGUGCUGAUGUUUGAACAUCUGUGAAUAUACUAAAAAACAUUCAGUUGUACACUCUAAUGAGUGAACUGUAUAGUAUGUGAGCUAUUCAUUAAUCAAGCUGUUAAAGUUUUUUGUGAAGACUUUUUUCAUUAUUUGAAUAUUUUCAUUGUUCAGAUUUUUGGGGAAGUCUGUCUACAUGGAGUCCAGAAACCUACAAAUUACUAACAUUGGAAUAUUUCUAACCUUUCCUUUCUCCUACCUGGUAAAUGAGUUCUUGCCUUGCUUGCAGUUUUUUUUUCCCUUCACCUCCUCCUCUGAGGGUAACCUGUGAGAAAAAUUCUUCCCCUUUUAUCCCUCAUGCAUAUUUUAAAAAGGAAAGGGAAUGCUAUAAAAAUAAGGCAUGCGUAUCUUAAAGUUGCAAUGGGAUUUUUUUCAGAUAAUUUGACUAAAGGCCCUUGUGUUACUAUAGGAAAUGGAUGGAAAGGGGUUCAUAUUAAGCAUUGUUGUGAUCUAAGCAUCAUUUUCCUAUUACUUGAGAAAUCCAAGUGCACUUUUGCUUAUUUUCAAAUUACAUUUUGAUUGUGAAAACAUAUCCCUAAUGAUUACUGGACAAUUUGAAUCAUGGCUUCAAUUUAUUUAUAAUUUUGGGGGGUAGGCAUAAGGUAAGUUUUGGCUCUCAGCUGAAUCCCAGAACAAAAUCUCUCCAGACUUGAACUAUUUGUUCAUUUUUCCCAUUUUUAUCAGACAGUUGCAACUGGAAUCCUAAAGAAUAGAGGAUUGUAGAGGUAGAGCUGAGAGGUUAUCAGAAUGUCAUCAAACGAAAGAGACAUGGUUAAGGCGAUGCUAAUAUCAAAAGGGAAAAUUGUGGGAACAUUGCUUUUCUGGACUGGAGGUACCAGCGAGAAAAAUAUAUCACACAAUGCUUUGUGAGUCAUACUAAAGUGAGAAAUUAAAAAAAAAA
rnacentral:lncRNA from 1 species